UACAGAGACUGCAAGCGUUUAUUCGGAUUCACUGGGCGUAAAGGGUGCGCAGGCGGCCGUGUGUGUGAGGCGUGAAAGCCCGGGGCUUAACCCCGGAAUUGCACCUCAAACUACAUGGCUAGAGCAUUGGAGAGGGUAGCGGAAUUCACGGUGUAGCAGUGAAAUGCGUAGAUAUCGUGAGGAACACCAGAGGCGAAGGCGGCUACCUGGACAAUUGCUGACGCUCAGGCACGAAAGCGUGGGGAGCAAAAAGGG
rnacentral:rRNA from 1 species